rnacentral:rRNA from 1 species
UACGUAGGUGGCAAGCGUUGUCCGGAUUUAUUGGGCGUAAAGGGAACGCAGGCGGUCUUUUAAGUCUGAUGUGAAAGCCUUCGGCUUAACCGGAGUUGGGCAUUGGAAACUGGGAGACUUGAGUGCAGAAGAGGAGAGUGGAACUCCAUGUGUAGCGGUGAAAUGCGUAGAUAUAUGGAAGAACACCAGUGGCGAAAGCGGCUCUCUGGUCUGUAACUGACGCUGAGGUUCGAAAGCGUGGGUAGCAAACAGG